UACGAAGGGGGCUAGCGUUGCUCGGAAUCACUGGGCGUAAAGCGCACGUAGGCGGAUUGCUAAGUCAGGGGUGAAAUCCUGGAGCUCAACUCCAGAACUGCCUUUGAUACUGGCAAUCUCGAGUCCGGGAGAGGUGAGUGGAACUGCGAGUGUAGAGGUGAAAUUCGUAGAUAUUCGCAAGAACACCAGUGGCGAAUGCGGCUCACUGGCCCGGUACUGACGCUGAGGUGCGAAAGCGUGGGGAGCAAACGGG
rnacentral:rRNA from 1 species